UUCCUUUUAAUGUGUGACUUUUUUCUUGGCUGUUCCUUCAUUAGGGUCAACAGAUUUACAUAUACAAAUCUGGAGCACACUAUACUCUCAUUGAAGGAUACCCCAAACCUCUGAAGGAAGAGCUUGGGGUUGAAGGUCCAGUGAACGCUUCCUUCGCUUGUGAAGGAAAAAGCAUUGCAUAUAUCAUUCAAGGACAAAAUAUGUAUUCUGUGAACCUCAGUACUACCCCGAGGACUGUGAUCAAAGAUACGAUCCUACCCUUGACUAAUGUGGAGGCUGCCACAUGUGACUCCAGCGGUGUGAGACUGUUUGUGGGCUCUGAGUUUUACAGCUAUGAAAACCCAAAUAGCAUCGCCGUUAGCGGGACUGCUGUGACUCCCCAGAAGACCCCCAAGAAUAUUCUGGGCUGUGACCAUGAGGUGCGAACACCUCUUUCAGGCACUCACGCAUCGAUCUGAAUGGUUAAUAUGUGACAUACGUGGUGCCCAUUGGAUGACAACACUGACAAGUUUGCUAACAAUGAUACUAAUGACAUGUGAUACUGAUUGCAUGAUUUGUAUAUCUCAUUUUGAUUUUAAUGGAAUUUUUAUUCUUAUUUUUUUUUCCCAUUACCAUUGUUCGACAUGAAUUCUCUUUUUAUCUGUAGGGAAAUAAAGAUGGUCCAUAAUACUGCUUGUUCAUUAAAUACAUUUUAUUAUCUUUCUA